rnacentral:rRNA from 1 species
UACGUAGGGUGCAAGCGUUGUCCGGAAUUAUUGGGCGUAAAGAGCUCGUAGGCGGUUGUCGCGUCGACUGUGAAAACCCGAGGCUCAACCUCGGGCCUGCAGCCGAUACGGGCAGACUAGAGUUCGGCAGGGGAGACUGGAAUUCCUGGUGUAGCGGUGAAAUGCGCAGAUAUCAGGAGGAACACCGGUGGCGAAGGCGGGAUCUCUGGGCCUUACCUGACGCUCAGGCGCGAAAGCUAGGGGAGCGAACUGG